GACGUUAACUCGGUGUUGUAGUGGUAGCACGCGUCCCCGGUGUGGAUGAAACGCGAGUUCGACUCCCGUCUGACGUCG